UGAGAGGGAAGCGAUUGGCG
rnacentral:misc_RNA from 1 species